rnacentral:rRNA from 1 species
UGUGACCCAAGUGUGCGAGCCGAAGAGAGAUCGGAGGCUCACAUGCAAACCCUUAAACAUACCCCCAUGAAGUAUCAGAAUGUACCUUGCGUUAACUCGCACAAAUAUAACUUUCAACAACGGAUCUCUUGGCUCUCGCAUCGAUGAAGAACGCAGCGAAAUGCGAUAAGUAAUGUGAAUUGCAGAAUUCAGUGAAUCAUCGAAUCUUUGAACGCACCUUGCGCCCCUUGGCAUUCCGAGGGGCACGCCUGUUUGAGUGUCGUGAACUCCUCCACCCCCUACCUUUUCCGAAGGGUAUCGGGCUGGGAUUUGGGAGCUUGCGGGUCCCUGGCCGAUCCGCUCUCCUUGAAUACAUUAGCGAAGCCCUUGCGGCCUUGGUGUGAUAGUCAUCUACGCCUCGGCUUAGCGAACCCGUGGGCAUCGCUUCGAACCGUCUCGCAAGGGACAACGACUUAACUACUUGACCUCAAAUCAGGCGGGACUACCCGCUGAACUUAAGCAUAUCAAUAAGCGGAGGAAAAGAAACUAACAAGGAUUCCCCUAGUAACUGCGAGUGAAGCGGGAUGAGCUCAAAUUUAAAAUCUGGCGUCUUCGGCGUCCGAGUUGUAAUUUAGAGAAGCGUUUUCCGUGC